rnacentral:rRNA from 1 species
UACAGAGGGGCAAGCGUUGUUCGGAAUUACUGGGCGUAAAGGGCGCGUAGGCGGCCUGCUAAGUCGAACGUGAAAUCCCUGGGCUCAACCCAGGAACUGCGUCCGAUACUGGUUGGCUUGAAUCCGGGAGAGGGAUGUGGAAUUCCAGGUGUAGCGGUGAAAUGCGUAGAUAUCUGGAGGAACACCGGUGGCGAAGGCGGCUCACUGGCCCGGUACUGACGCUGAGGUGCGAAAGCGUGGGGAGCAAACAGG